CACCCAAACAAAUCCUUUCACAGCGUCGGUAAAAGGUAGCUAGACAGACGGGACCCAAAGAGGGAGGCAUCGACCCCAUCCUGUGUGGACACUGCCAUGGGUUUCUGGUUCUUCAACUGCUUGGCCCUUUGUCUCCUGGUGGUAGGUCCAGUGGACCCUAGAAUUACCCAGACACCAAAACAUCUGGUGGCAGUCACAGGGAAUGAAAGGACCCUGAAAUGUAAACAGUAUCUAGGUCACAAUGCUAUGUACUGGUAUAGACAAAGUGCUAAAAGGUCCCUAGAGCUCAUGUUUUCCUAUAACUAUCAAGCACUUGUUGAAAACCAGACUAUCCAAAGUCGCUUCCAACCUCACAGUCCAGCGAAAUCCGACUUAGAGCUUCAGAUCUCCGCCCUGGAACCUGACGACUCAGCCACAUAUUUCUGUGCCAGCAGCCAAGACACAGCCCUGCAGAGCUAA